AAAUGUUGGUAUUCAAGACAUCUGUCAUACCUUUGAUUGCCAGGGGUGCUUUGGCUGAUAUGGCUUUCUAUCCAGGUGUCCCCUUCCUCCCUCACUGCUCCAUGUGUGCCCUUCAAGAAGCUGCACGCUUUGCCAAACAGAAUGACUCCCCUUAAUGGUGGAGGACCUGUCUUUGGUCAAUGGCCUACUUAGCUGUGCUCCUCUAAUAGACCUACAAACAAGCUCACAGAAAUUUAUAAUUAUUCAUGUUACAAUUGCCCUAGAUUUCAGAAGCCCAAAAUGACUGCUUUUCUGGUGAAU
rnacentral:snRNA from 1 species